rnacentral:rRNA from 1 species
AUUGAACGCUGGCGGCAUGCCUUACACAUGCAAGUCGAACGUUAACAGGUCUUCGGAUGCUGACGAGUGGCGAACGGGUGAGUAAUACAUCGGAACGUGCCUAGGAGGGGGGGAUAACUACUCGAAAGAGUGGCUAAUACCGCAUGAGAUCUACGGAUGAAAGCAGGGGAUCGCAAGACCUUGUGCUACCAGAGCGGCCGAUGGCAGAGUAGGUAGUGGGUGGGAUAAAAGCUGACCAAGCCGACGAUCUGUAGCUGGUCUGAGAGGACGAUCAGCCACACUGGGACUGAGACACGGCCCAGACUCCUACGGGAGGCAGCAGUGGGGAAUUUUGGACAAUGGGCGAAAGCCUGAUCCAGCAAUGCCGCGUGCAGGAUGAAGGCCUUCGGGUUGUAAACUGCUUUUGUACGGAACGAAAAGCCCUGGGUUAAUACCCUGGGGUCAUGACGGUACCGUAAGAAUAAGCACCGGCUAACUACGUGCCAGCCGCCGCGGUAA